GAUGAACGCUGGCGGCGUGCUUAACACAUGCAAGUCGAACGGUGAAGGCGGAGCUUGCUCUGCUGGAUCAGUGGCGAACGGGUGAGUAACACGUGAGCAAUCUGCCCCUGACUCUGGGAUAAGCGCUGGAAACGGCGUCUAAUACUGGAUACGAGCUGCGAAGGCAUCUUCAGCAGCUGGAAAGAACUUCGGUCAGGGAUGAGCUCGCGGCCUAUCAGCUUGUUGGUGAGGUAACGGCUCACCAAGGCGUCGACGGGUAGCCGGCCUGAGAGGGUGACCGGCCACACUGGGACUGAGACACGGCCCAGACUCCUACGGGAGGCAGCAGUGGUGAAUAUUGCACAAUGGGCGAAAGCCUGAUGCAGCAACGCCGCGUGAGGGACGACGGCCUUCGGGUUGUAAACCUCUUUUAGCAGGGAAGAAGCGAAAGUGACGGUACCUGCAGAAAAAGCGCCGGCUAACUACGUG
rnacentral:rRNA from 1 species